GACGAACCGUGCGAACGUUGUUCGGAAUCACUGGGCGUAAAGGGCGCGUAGGCGGCGCGGUAAGCGUGCGGUGAAAGCCCGGGGCUCAACCCCGGGUCGGCCGUGCGGACUGCCGGGCUGGAGCACUGUAGAGGCAGGUGGAAUUCCGGGUGUAGCGGUGGAAUGCGUAGAGAUCCGGAAGAACACCGGUGGCGAAGGCGGCCUGCUGGGCAGUAGCUGACGCUGAAGCGCGACAGCGUGGGGAGCAAACAGG
rnacentral:rRNA from 1 species